CCCUUAGAUGUUCUGGGCCGCACGCGCGCUACACUGACGAAUGCAACGAGCUUAUAACCUUGGCCGAAAGGUCUGGGUAAUCUCCAAAUUUCGUCGUGAUGGGGAUAGAUUAUUGCAAUUAUUAAUCUUCAACGAGGAAUGCCUAGUAAGCGCAAGUCAUCAGCUUGCGUUGAUUACUUCCCUGCCCUUUGUACACACCGCCCGUCGCUCCUACCGAUUGAAUGGUCCGGUGAAGCGUUCGGACCGUGGCCUUUGGACGGUUCGCCGUCUGUUGGCUGCGGGAAGUUCGUUAAACCUUAUCAUUUAGAGGAAGGAGAAGUCGUAACA
rnacentral:rRNA from 1 species